CUGGCGUGCGGCGGAAGUGGUGGUGCUCCGCCUCAGCAGCUGGCCUGUGGGAGCUCGGACGAACGCCGACAGCGCGCAGGGGCCCGAGCCCUGGGAUGGCCCACAGUGCCGCCCUCCUCCCUCCCACUCAGCCCAGCCCCCUGGGGGUCCAGUCGACUCAGAAGCGGAGACUCCGUGUCCAGCAACUGUGAGACGCCGGGUAACGACGGGGCCGCAUGGAGCGCGAGGAACGCGCGUAGGACUUGACCUAGAAGUAGGCUUUGCGAAUGACUACUUGUGUGACCGAACCCCGCUCUGGGUAAAGCUCCCUGGGGACCCCCAAGUCCGAAGGAAGCCUGUCUGCGAAGGAUGGUCUCCUGGGAAGGAGCCGAAGGCUUUCUUUUCAGACCGCCGUGUAGCCUGUCCUGGGGGUCCUGGGCUGAGAGAGGAAGCCAGACGGUGUGUGAAGAGGAGGUCACCUCCCUGCUCGGAGCUCUGGGAGCGCCUGAAAGGCAGUUGAGAGCCAGUUGAGAGGCAACAACCCCAGUUCGACCUCCUCCUUUCAAGUUGUGUAGAACUGCACUGCGCACGCGAGUUCGCCGGGACCCAGGCCAGGUCGGGGGCUUUGCGAAGACAAGAUGCUUUUGCUUUGAGUUUGCUCUGAUCUGCCCAACUCGCUCAGAUCCAACAAGGGCAGCACCUGUGUUCAGGAGAAAAUAUACCCUACCCAAUGGCCGGUUGUAGUUCUGCGCCUGACUUCCUCAAAAAUCAGUUUCUAUGGCUGUUCUCCUCUUCGGUAAAAUCAGGACAAUUUUUACUGCUGAGGCUGAAAUUAAAAAGGUAAAGACACACGCCUCCUUGAAGACUUCCUAGUCUAGGGAACGGUCUGUUGGCCCUGUCUGCUCUUGUCAAUAAAAUUUUAUUGGGAUACGGUUA